rnacentral:rRNA from 1 species
UAGAAAUUUAUUUAUAUUAGGUAGUAACAGAUUUCUUGAAACCUAAAGAAUUUGGCGGUAUUUUAAAUAAUUAGAGGAACCUGUUAAUUAAAUGACAAUCCACAACAUAUCUUACCUGGAUAAAAAAAAUUUGUAUACCGUUGUUUUUAGAUUAUAUUUAGAAAUUAUAAUCAAAAUCAAUUUAUUUUUAUAAAUCAAAUCAAGGUGCAGUAUCUCCAGGUUUUAAUGGGUUACAAUAUAUUUAUAUAUACGGAUAAGUAAUGAAAAUAGUUUUUAAGGUGGAUUUAAAAGUAAUUUUAAAGUAAAAUGUUAAAAUGAAUAAAAAUUUAAAAUAUGC